GGGGCAGGGGCACCCAGUACCUUAUCGACUGGGAGGGUUAUGGGCCAGAGGAACGUCAGUGGGUUCCCUCCCGACUCAUCUUAGACAAGUCCCUCAUCAGGGACUUCCACAAGACUCACCCUGACCAGCCCAGGGCGUCUAGAAUCCGCCCUUGAGGGAGGGGCUCUGUAAUGAUUCUGGCACUGGAGCUGAUUCAUUUCCCCUUCUUUCUCACCUGCUCAGUCUCCACCUCUCUGCAAUUAAACGUUACUGGCUCCACCUGUCUCCAGCUGCAUAAAAGCCCUGUCAAUCUCAGUCUCCAGUGCCAGAACGUCUCUAGCCUUUUGCCGAGAACCUUCAAGCCUGUUAAUCAAUUCCUGCCUGUCUGUUGCCGACCUGAUCUGUCCUCUGUUUUUCCCGAGCCUGCCGAAGCCCUCUCUGGUCCUGUCUGUUCGAUACCUGUCUGUCUGGAAACCCUUCCCCCUGGACUGUCUUCCCGUGUGCCGAACCUGGACCGAACCUGAACCCGAUCUCGGAUACCCCUUCUGGCGGAUCUUUGGCCCCAACGUUAACGAACCCGGACUGUCUUUGGAUUUACGCCCCUGGAUUGCCCCAAACGGGCUCUGCCUGCCGGUCUCAACUGUCUGCGGACGCCUCUCAUCUCCAAGACCAUCUUCCCCGAACAACCCAGCCCGCAAUCAGGAGACUGCCGGCCGACAAGCCGCAAGCAGCGCGUCCCGAGAGCCCCACUUCCCCUCUCCUUUUAAAUAAACAAACCUCGUAACGCCA